ACAUGCGGAUCUACCCGCUGAACUUAAGCAUAUCACUCGGCGGAGGAAGAGAAAGUAACUACGAUUGCCUCAGUAAUGGCGAAUGAACAGGCACGAUGCGGGCCGUCCCUGAGGGGGCAAUCGCGCUACGGGGUCGGCUUUCCGCUGCGCUUUGCGUUGUUGGGUUCGGGACAGAUGGGCCGCUGUGGUUGGAUGCUACGCCUGCAAGUCGCCUGGAACGGCACGCAGCAAAGGGUUAUAGCCCCGUGCGUUGGUGUGCGUUGUAUCCUCCAUGGCACCGGCCUGUUUGCGCCCACGAGUAGAGCUGCUUGGGACUGCAGUUUGAACUGCGAGGUGUAUCCGUCGCAAGCCUGAAUACCGGCACGGGACCGAUAGAGUACAAGUAGUGUGAACGAAGGGUGCAAAGUACCUUGCAAAAGGGGUCAAAAGUACCUGAAGCUG
rnacentral:rRNA from 16 species